GAUGAACGCUGGCGGCGUGCCUAAUACAUGCAAGUCGAGCGAACAGAUGAGGAGCUUGCUCCUCUGACGUUAGCGGCGGACGGGUGAGUAACACGUGGAUAACCUACCUAUAAGACUGGGAUAACUUCGGGAAACCGGAGCUAAUACCGGAUAAUAUAUUGAACCGCAUGGUUCAAUAGUGAAAGACGGUUUUGCUGUCACUUAUAGAUGGAUCCGCGCCGCAUUAGCUAGUUGGUAAGGUAACGGCUUACCAAGGCAACGAUGCGUAGCCGACCUGAGAGGGUGAUCGGCCACAAUGGAACUGAGACACGGUCCAGACUCCUACGGGAGGCAGCAGUAGGGAAUCUUCCGCAAUGGGCGAAAGCCUGACGGAGCAACGCCGCGUGAGUGAUGAGGGUCUUCGGAUCGUAAAACUCUGUUAUUAGGGAAGAACAAAUGUGUAAGUAACUAUGCACGUCUUGACGGUACCUAAUCAGAAAGCCACGGCUAACUACGUG
rnacentral:rRNA from 1 species